rnacentral:rRNA from 1 species
AUUGAACGCUGGCGGCAGGCCUAACACAUGCAAGUCGAACGGUAACAGGAAGCAGCUUGCUGCUUCGCUGACGAGUGGCGGACGGGUGAGUAAUGUCUGGGAAACUGCCUGAUGGAGGGGGAUAACUACUGGAAACGGUAGCUAAUACCGCAUAACGUCGCAAGACCAAAGAGGGGGACCUUAGGGCCUCUUGCCAUCGGAUGUGCCCAGAUGGGAUUAGCUAGUAGGUGGGGUAACGGCUCACCUAGGCGACGAUCCCUAGCUGGUCUGAGAGGAUGACCAGCCACACUGGAACUGAGACACGGUCCAGACUCCUACGGGAGGCAGCAGUGGGGAAUAUUGCACAAAGGGCGCAAGCCUGAUGCAGCCAUGUCGCGUGUAUGAAGAAGGCCUUCGGGUUGUAAAGUACUUUCAGCGGGGAGGAAGGGAGUAAAGUUAAUACCUUUGCUCAUUGACGUUACCCGCAGAAGAAGCACCGGCUAACUCCGUG